GAAAGACAUAAAAAAAAAUCAGAAAAUACGAGUUUGUUUAAAAGACAUAAAUCCUCCGUCUAAUUAUUAUUGUUCUUUUUCUGUAUAUCGAUUACUCCUCCUUAUUUUGAUUUGAUUUGAUUGAAUGGUUGAUUCUGACCAGGGAAUUAAUAUUUUACUAACGCCAAUUGGUGGAUGAUGUGCGAUUCCAGAUUGAUUCGAACAACAUUAGUGCAAAUCAUUGCAGAAUAUACAGGAUGUCGGUUACAAACGAAAAUAUGGUGGACACAACCUCGAUUUUCUUGAAAGAUACAAGGUUGUGGAUUCUUUUUCAGAGCUUGGCUAUUUCCAUCCUUCCUGUUAAAAAAGAAUGGUCCUGCUGUCAAAGUCUGCCAUGGUGAUAUUAUAUCAUUUGCUGCUCCGCCUCAGCACGAUCUUACAUUUUCUUUUGUAUAUCGAGAGGUGCUUUUGUCCUCCCCCAUGCCAGAUAAUGCAGCUGCUAAGCGAAAAGCAGGGUUGUGCCUCUGAAAGCAAGAGAUUGAAAGGCUUAGGCAUUGGUGCCCCGAAGGUCCCAUUUCUCUUGAUGAUUUUUGAAGCUUUCAAAGAUCAAACACAGUACAUUAAUUUAAAAGGAGCUGAGGAAGCAGUUGGAGAAUCAAGUGGUAUUAAUUGAUACUUUUUGUGUAAUGACAACCGUGUUGCUGCUGAUCGUCAUGAAAGUGAAUUACGAUCAGCCAAGGAGUCUGUUGCAAAAUGUUACCUUGAUCAAUUAAAAGAAGAGCGGACUCAGCGAAAAGAAGAUCGGGAAAAGGUCAAAACUGAUCUAAUGGCUGCUAUUUUUAGAGCCUAGUCUGAGGCUGAGGAAGAAUUAAAACGACACAUUGAUGUUGCCUUAAGAAGAGAAAGAGAACUACAUGAAACAAUAAAUAAGCUUCAGGUUUAAAGGUUUCAUCGCUAAAGUAAUAAGAAACCGUACUCCCUUUGCUUUUGAAGCUUAUAAGCUGUCGUUCUUUCUGUAUGUUGUAGGAGUCAGAUAAAGAAAGGUGUUUGCUAGUUGAAACUUUGAGGUCCAAACUGGUUUGUGCCUUCGUUCUAUUUUUGUUGCAGAAAAAUAUGAGGCAAAAGAUGGUUGUUUCUGAUAAUAAGAUUCUACCAGUUGAAAACUGAAUUGCACGAGGAGAAGUUGACCACUGCAAAUCAAACAAAGAUAAUCAUAUGGUUUUGUGCGUGUAUUAUGUCCCCUUUUCAUAUUUUGGAUUUGGUUACUAUCUCGCUGAACGAAAAUACAAUUUUAUGGAGCAAAAAAUAAAAGAACUUGAAGAGGAUACAAGAAGAUUAAACAAAGAGCUUGAGAGUGAAAAGGUAGAUAUCGGAAUUUCAUGUUCCAAGAAUGUUUUUGUAUAAAGGUGUUUGUCUAAAUGAUGUCUGCUAUGCCUUAUUUCCGUGAGACUUCAGAGUAUGACAGUAUCUUAUUUAUAUGU